rnacentral:tRNA from 2 species
GCUCGGGUGGCGGAAUUGGUAGACGCGCAGGAUUCAGGAUCCUGUGGGGGCAACCCCGUGAGGGUUCGAGUCCCUCCCCGAGCA